rnacentral:lncRNA from 1 species
CACUUGCUUUAUUUUGCAAAGCAAGGAGGACCUUUUGUCUCGACAUGUUGUUCAACUCCGUGAGAUGGAUAAGUUUCAAUGAAACUUUUAUUAUCAAGGACAUCAUUAUAUUUCGAUUUGAUUUCUUGAGUCUUCAAUAGUUCUGAAAUGAAGCACGGUUCAUCUCGGAAUAACUUUUUAUUGAAAAUAUCAACUCCAAAUCUGAAAUUAUAUGAAAAAUAUGCACCCAAAAUUGGACUACCACUUAGUACCACAAUAAAUUUCCAUUGGAAAUCUACUAGAUUUUCUAAAUUGAGAGUUAAAGUUGUUGUAGCAAUAAUAUCAACGAGGGCUCCUCUAUAUCCAAUAAUAGGGGAGAGUUUUUCUCGAACAAGACUUUAACAUUUUUUAAAUGGAAUAAAAGACAUUUGCGCUCCUGUAUCUACCGGAAAGUUAAUGAAAUUUGAAUUGCCUUUGAUGAAAAAUAAGUUUGAUGGUUUAUUUACAACCUCAGUCCCGUGCAACCGAGGGAAAUUUAGUUUUUUGAAACAAAUUGAGUAAAUUUGGACAUGGUAUGAAGAGGUUUUUUUGAAAACCUGACUGAUAGGAGGUGAAGCAUACGAGUGGAAAUAUGUGAAUUGCUAAGUUCUUUGGCGUCAACACACAUUUGCUUCAACUCUUCAAUUGAAUAGGACUGUGCUCUCAAGUACCCUUGCUGGUCUUUAGGCACUUUUCUGAUGAGUGCCUCCCUUAGUAAAUGAUGAAGCAAAUCAUGAAUGUAUUCUUCGUCAAGGAGACGCUCAACUUCAUUUAUAACUUCCUCAGAUGAAAAUCCCGAUGAAUUGCACAGCAUAUCAGAAUUUUUUUUUAAUACUAUCUGAAGAUCCAUCGCCGAGAAUUUUAAAAGACGUAGUUCUACGUCGACAAGAAUCAAGUUGCUGACCUCUUUCGCUACGUACUUUUGUUCGAUCUAAGGGACAUUGUCUGCAUGGUCUUGACCAUCAGAAUGAGAUUUUUUAGGAGGCAUGAUAUCACGUCGGGGUCAUGCACUUUGCAUAAACAAAUUACAUAAAAAGUUUACAAAAUGAUAGAUAAAUAAAUACAUUAACGUCCAUCAUACCAUUUAUUUGAUCCAUUAAACUCUAUUUGUGGUUUUGAAGGCUAUUUUGAGAUGAAUUAUUUUCCAAUGAAUGGUGCAAUUAAACGAAGCAACGGAUUGAAAAAAAAGUGACUAAAUAAACUAUA